rnacentral:lncRNA from 1 species
ACAUGAGUGAGUUGGAGGGGAGGGAAACGAAUCAUUCCGCAAAGGUUCGUCACUUGUGACAUGAAAGCAGAGGUAUGUUUCUUCCCGUUGUUUUAGGAACGCUUGGUCUCCCCAUGCAACGCCAGCGCUUCUCAAAUGACACAAUCUGAUCGGCUAUUGUUACAGGAAGGAGACGUGAUGGGAAAGAAGAUUCUCUCAUUGGUGCUCAUCUGUACAGUGGCCGGUGCUGCUGGGGAAUGUGUGCUGCCAUUGAGAAUGAGUGACAGCUGUCAUUAGGGCUUUCAGAUGGAGGCUGCAGUCACCUGCUUGCUGAGCAAGAGCAAGGAAACUAAACCACCAGAAGAACCAGCUUCUCAGCCAGCUGAUUUAAAACUGUCUUUUGAGACCAGCUGGGGAUGUGGACAGAGACAUCUUCUGCAAACACUGGAGCAGGGUCACAAAGAAUCAGAGCUGGCUGGUGUGUGUCCUUCUGGUCCAGCAUGCUGUGUUGGGAGGUGCAGAAAUGCCAGUUGA